rnacentral:rRNA from 1 species
ACGAACGCUGGCGGCGUGCUUAACACAUGCAAGUCGAACGGAAAGGCCCUGCUUGCAGGGUACUCGAGUGGCGAACGGGUGAGUAACACGUGGGUGAUCUGCCCUGCACUUCGGGAUAAGCUUGGGAAACUGGGUCUAAUACCGGAUAGGAACCAUCUUUAGUGUGGUGGUUGGAAAGUUUUUUCGGUGUAGGAUGAGCUCGCGGCCUAUCAGCUUGUUGGUGGGGUAAUGGCCUACCAAGGCGGCGACGGGUAGCCGGCCUGAGAGGGUGUACGGCCACAUUGGGACUGAGAUACGGCCCAGACUCCUACGGGAGGCAGCAAUGGGGAAUAUUGCACAAUGGGCGCAAGCCUGAUGCAGCGACGCCGCGUGGGGGAUGAAGGCCUUCGGGUUGUAAACUCCUUUCGCUAGGGACGAAGCUUUGUUGUGACGGUACCUAGAUAAGAAGCACCGGCUAACUACGUG